CCUGGCUCAGAUUGAACGCUGGCGGCAUGCUUUACACAUGCAAGUCGAACGGCAGCGGGGGCUUCGGCCUGCCGGCGAGUGGCGAACGGGUGAGUAAUGCAUCGGAACGUGCCCAUGUCGUGGGGGAUAACGUAGCGAAAGCUACGCUAAUACCGCAUACGCCCUGAGGGGAAAGCGGGGGAUUCUUCGGAACCUCGCGCGAUUGGAGCGGCCGAUGUCGGAUUAGCUAGUAGGUGAGGUAAAGGCUCACCUAGGCGACGAUCCGUAGCGGGUCUGAGAGGAUGAUCCGCCACACUGGGACUGAGACACGGCCCAGACUCCUACGGGAGGCAGCAGUGGGGAAUUUUGGACAAUGGGCGCAAGCCUGAUCCAGCCAUGCCGCGUGAGUGAAGAAGGCCUUCGGGUUGUAAAAGCUCUUUCGGCCGGGAAGAAAUCGUGGUCUCUAACAUAGGCCAUGGAUGACGGUACCGGACUAAGAAGCACCGGCUAACUACGUGCCAGCAGCCGC
rnacentral:rRNA from 1 species